CCUACGGGAGACUGCAGUAGGGAAUAUUGCUCAAUGGGGGAAACCCUGAAGCAGCAACGCCGCGUGGAGGAUGAAGGUUUUCGGAUUGUAAACUCCUUUUGUUAGAGAAGAUAAUGACGAUAUCUAACGAAUAAGCACCGGCUAACUCCGUGCCAGCAGCCGCGGUAAUACGGAGGGGGCAAGCGUUACUCGGAAUAACUGGGCGUAAAGAGCGCGUAGGCGGGAUAGCAAGUCAGAUGUGAAAUCCUAUGGAUUAACCAGAGAACUGCAUUUGAAACUGUUAUUCUGGAGUAUGGGAGAGGAAAGGGGAAUUUGUGGUGUAGGGGAAAAAUGUGUAGAU
rnacentral:rRNA from 1 species